rnacentral:rRNA from 1 species
UUUGAUGGCGACCGGCGCACGGGUGAGUAACACGUAUCCAACCUGCCGAUGACUCGGGGAUAGCCUUUCGAAAGAAAGAUUAAUACCCGAUGGCAUAGUUCUUCCGCAUGGUGGAACUAUUAAAGAAUUUCGGUCAUCGAUGGGGAUGCGUUCCAUUAGCUUGUUGGCGGGGUAACGGCCCACCAAGGCAUCGAUGGAUAGGGGUUCUGAGAGGAAGGUCCCCCACAUUGGAACUGAGACACGGUCCAAACUCCUACGGGAGGCAGCAG